CCUACGGGGGGCAGCAGUGAGGAAUAUUGGUCAAUGGGCGCGAGCCUGAACCAGCCAAGUCGCGUGAGGGAAGACGGUCCUAUGGAUUGUAAACCUCUUUUGUCGGGGAGCAAAAGACGCCACGCGUUGCGUUCCGAGAGUACCCGAAGAAAAAGCAUCGGCUAACUCCGUGCCAGCAGCCGCGGUAAUACGGAGGAUGCGAGCGUUAUCCGGAUUUAUUGGGUUUAAAGGUUGCGCAGGAGGAAUAUCAAGUCAGCGGUCAAAGUGAGAGGGUAAACGCCGUACAGCCGUUGAAACUGGCAGUGUUGAGGGGGAGAGAAGUAUGCGGAAUGCGUGGUGUAGCGGUGAAAUGCAGAGAUAUCACGCAGAACUCCGAUUGCGAAGGCAGCAUACCGGCGCCCGACUGACGCUGAGGCACGAAAGCGUGGGUAUCGAACAGGAUUAGAUACCCCUGUAGUC
rnacentral:rRNA from 1 species